rnacentral:tRNA from 2 species
CUUAAUGUGGCAGAAAUUACAUGCAAUGAAUUUAAGCUUCAUUUAUAAAGACCCUUCUUUCAUUAAGA